UGGGGAAUUUUGGACAAUGGGCGCAAGCCUGAUCCAGCCAUGCCGCGUGAGUGAAGAAGGCCUUCGGGUUGUAAAGCUCUUUCAGCUGGAAAGAAAUCGUAUCUAUUAAUACUAGGUGCGGAUGACGGUACCAGCAGAAGAAGCACCGGCUAACUACGUGCCAGCAGCCGCGGUAAUACGUAGGGUGCGAGCGUUAAUCGGAAUUACUGGGCGUAAAGCGUGCGCAGGCGGCUUUUUAAGCCAGAUGUGAAAUCCCCGGGCUCAACCUGGGAACUGCAUUUGGAACUGGAAGGCUAGAGUGUAGCAGAGGGGGGUAGAAUUCCACGUGUAGCAGUGAAAUGCGUAGAGAUGUGGAGGAAUACCGAUGGCGAAGGCAGCCCCCUGGGCUAACACUGACGCUCAUGCACGAAAGCGUGGGGAGCAAACAGGAUUAGAUACCCUGGUAGUCCACGCCCUAAACGAUGUCAACUAGGUGUUGGGGAAGGAGACUUCUUUAGUACCGCAGCUAACGCGUGAAGUUGACCGCCUGGGGAGUACGGUCGCAAGAUUA
rnacentral:rRNA from 1 species